GAGGAUAUAGAUCUGUUGGUUUCAUCAUGAAACCAAAGUUCAAGAGUCGUUAGAGAGGACCAAGAGAACCAUUGCCAAGCCAAUAUACAAAAUACUAAGCAAGAAAUACUUUAUUGGCAACGAAGAUUGAGAUGCAAAUUGUAGAAGCAGAGACAACUCCUCUAAAUCAAAGACGGGCAGAAUUUAUGAUGACCUUUAGUAGUUAUUUCUGAAAGAUUUUCUCGGUAGAAGAGGUGGAGCCAAUCUCCAGUUCCGAAGAAUCACUAACAGUGAUGAAGCAUGGCUAGAGUGGCCAUUUUUGGAGUUUGAAGUACUUAAAGCUAUCACAAAGCUUGGCCAAGACAAAGCCCUG
rnacentral:lncRNA from 1 species